rnacentral:rRNA from 1 species
UACGAAGGGUGCAAGCGUUGCUCGGAAUCACUGGGCGUAAAGCGACCGCAGGCGGCCUGACAAGUCGGAUGUGAAAGCCCUGGGCUCAACUCAGGAAUUGCAUUCGAAACUGGCAGGCUCGAGUACGGGAGAGGGGGGGUGGAAUUCCUGGUGUAGGGGGUGAAAUUCGUUGAUAUCAGGAGGAACACCGGCGGCGAAGGCGGCCCCCUGGCCCGCAACUGACGCUCAGUG